rnacentral:tRNA from 1 species
GCCGAUGUAGCUCAGCUGGCAAGAGCGAUUGCUUCGUAAGCAAUUGGUCGAAGGUUCAAAUCCUUCCAUCGGCU